rnacentral:rRNA from 1 species
GUCGAGAAUUUUUCUCAAUGGGCGAAAGCCUGAAGGAGCGACGCCGCGUGGGGGAUGAAUGGCUUCGGCCCGUAAACCCCUGUCAUUUGCGAUCAAACCUUACGACCUAACACGUCGUAAGCUGAUAGUAGCGGAAGAGGAAGGGACGGCUAACUCUGUGCCAGCAGCCGCGGUAAUACAGAGGUCCCAAGCGUUGUUCGGAUUCACUGGGCGUAAAGGGUGCGUAGGCGGUCGGGUAAGUCUGACGUGAAAUCUUCAAGCUCAACUUGGAAACUGCGUCGGAUACUAUUCGGCUAGAGGAAUGGAGGGGAGACUGGAAUACUUGGUGUAGCAGUGAAAUGCGUAGAUAUCAAGUGGAACACCAGUGGCGAAGGCGAGUCUCUGGACAUUUCCUGACGCUGAGGCACGAAAGCCAGGGGAGCAAACGGGAUUAGAAACCCCGGUAGUCC